CAAUAUAGCUUAAAACAAAGCAACGAUUUUGUAAAUCGAAGAUAUUUUUUUAUUG
rnacentral:tRNA from 1 species